UUUGUGGUAUAAUCUGAUUGUUGAUUGCCCUGUGGCGUAGCGAUACGUUACUUAGCACCGGGUGAAUUCAAGGAAAACCUAAGUCUUAGUUGAUAUGGCAACCCUGAGCCAAGCUUAAUUGAAGGUGCAACGCAUAGGAUUUAUAUCCCACGAGCGCCCGGCAACUCCCCGAGUUGAAGAGAUAUGCUGAACUGUAUGGAAACAUACAG
rnacentral:ncRNA from 1 species